UACAUAGGGGGCAAGCGUUAUCCGGAAUUAUUGGGUGUAAAGGGUGCGUAGACGGGUGUCUAAGUUGGUUGUGAAAUCCCUCGGCUCAACUGAGGAACUGCAACCAAAACUGGAUAUCUUGAGUGUCGGAGAGGAAAGUGGAAUUCCUAGUGUAGCGGUGAAAUGCGUAGAUAUUAGGAGGAACACCAGUGGCGAAGGCGACUUUCUGGACGAUAACUGACGUUGAGGCACGAAAGUGUGGGGAGCAAACAGG
rnacentral:rRNA from 1 species